UACGGAGGGCGCAGGCGUUGUUCGGAAUCACUGGGCGUAAAGCGCGUGUAGGCGGCUCUGCAAGUCGGGUGUGAAAUCCCGAGGCUCAACCUCGGAACUCCACUCGAUACUGCUUGGCUCGAGUCCCGGAGAGGGUGGCGGAAUUCCCGGUGUAGGGGUGAAAUCCGUAGAUAUCGGGAGGAACACCAGUGGCGAAGGCGGCCACCUGGACGGUGACUGACGCUGAGACGCGAAAUCGUGGGGAGCAAACAGG
rnacentral:rRNA from 1 species